rnacentral:rRNA from 1 species
GAUGAACGCUAGCGGCAGGCUUAAUACAUGCAAGUUGAGGGGCAGCAUGAUAUACGCGAGUAUAUUGAUGGCGACCGGCGGACGGGUGAGUAAUAGGUAGGAGACCUACCUCAUACAGGGGGAUAGCAUAGAGAAAUCUGUGGUAAUACCCCAUGAGGUUAUAUGAAUAGAGGCAUAUAAUCAAAGCAUAAGCGAUUAUGCGGUAUGAGAGGGGCCUACUGACCAUUAGCUAGUUGGUGAGGUAAGGGCUCACCAAGGCGAAGAUGGUUAGGGGUUUUGAGAGAGAGACCCCCCACAUUGGAACUGAGAGACGGUCCAGACUCCUACGGGAGGCAGCAGUAGGGAAUAUUGGGCAAUGGGCGAAAGCCUGACCCAGCCAUGCCGCGUGAAGGAGACGGCCUUAUGGGUUGUAAACUUCUUUACUACGCGAAUAGAGGUUAGUACGAGAUACUAAUAGGAAGGUAGUGUAGUAAAAGCACCGGCUAACUCCGUG